UACAGAGGGUGCAAGCGUUGUUCGGAAUUAUUGGGCGUAAAGGGCGCGUAGGCGGUGCGGUAAGUCUGAAGUGAAAUCUCUGGGCUCAACUCAGAGUCUGCUGUGGAAACUGCCGUGCUUGAGUGUGGGAGAGGUGAGUGGAAUUCCAGGUGUAGCGGUGAAAUGCGUAGAUAUCUGGAGGAAUACCGGUGGCGAAGGCGGCAUCCUGGACCAUUACUGACGCUGAGGCGCGAAAGCUAGGGGAGCAAACGGG
rnacentral:rRNA from 1 species